GGCGGCGUAGCCAAGUGGUAAGGCGGAAGUCUGCAAAACUUCUAUGCGUCGGUUCAAUUCCGACCGCCGCCUUCA
rnacentral:tRNA from 2 species